AUUGAACGCUGGCGGCAGGCCUAACACAUGCAAGUCGAACGAGUGGCGGACGGGUGAGUAAUGUCUGGGAAACUGCCUGAUGGAGGGGGAUAACUACUGGAAAAGGUAGCUAAUACCGCAUACCAUCAGAUGUGCCCAGCUGGGCUUAGCUAGUAGGUGGGGUAAUGGCUCACCUGGGCGACGAUCCCUAGCUGGUCUGAGAGGAUGACCAGCCACGCUGGAACGUAGACACGUUCCAGACUCCUACGGGAGGCAGCAGUGGGGAAUAUUGCACAAUGGGCGCAAGACUGAUGCAGCCAUGCCGCGUGUGUGAAUAAGGCCUUCGGGUUGUAAAGCACGUUCAGCGAGGAGGUGUUACUCGCAGAAGAAGCACCGGCUAAAGCCGUGCCAGCAGCCGCGGUAAUUC
rnacentral:rRNA from 1 species